AGUGUCUCCAAUGCCACCUCCAGUCUGGGGAAAGUCUGGUUCAUCUAGACAGCCCUAGCAGGGGAAAGUAAAGCAUCGUCCAUUGCACCCUGCCCUCCACAUGGAGGGAAGCCCCUGCCAUGGUGUGAGCUGCUCUGUGAGAGGCAAGAAACUGGUGUCUCCAGCCAGCAGCUACAGAGGGCCAGAGGUUGGCUUGGAGCUGAUGGAGUGAGUCUGGAGCAGAUCUUCCCCCAUUCAAACCACCACGUAUCUGUGGCCCCAGCUGUCAUUGUGCUUGCAGCCUCGUCACAAACCCUAAGGCAAAGACCCAUGUAAGCUUCACCCAGAUGUCUGACCCACAGAAAUGAAGAGAUGGAGUCUCAGUCUGUCACCCAGGCUGGAGUGCAAUGGUGCGAUCCUAGCUCACCACAACUUCCACCUCCCAGGUUCAAGCAACUCUCCUGCCUCAGCCUCCUGAGUAGAUGGGGUUACAGAUGGAGUCUCACUCGGUCACCCAGGCUGGAGUGCAGUGGUGCAAUCCCGGCUCACUGCAACCUCUGUCUCCUGGCUUCAAGCACUUCUCCUGCCUCAGCCUCCCGAGCAGCUGGGAUUAUAGGCAUGUGCCACCACACCCGGCUGAUUUUUGUGUUUUUAGUAGAGACAGGGUUUUAUCAUGCUGACCAGGCUGGUCUGAACUUCUGAUCUCAGAUGAUCCGCACCGCCCCCAGCCUCCCAAAGUGCUGGGAUUACAGGCAUGAGCCACUGUACCCGGCCAGUAACUUGGGUUUUGUGUCCUUUUUUGUAGUUGUUGAAUAAUUAUGGAAAAAAAUGCAUACAAAUAUUUCCAUGUGAAAUUUUUUGCCUAAUUUUAAGCCUAUUUCCUCAACUUGCUGUCCAACAGUCUCUUUCUUUUGAUGCCACUGACAUAGCUCUUAUCCAGAACGCUCCUUUUGCCUACUGGCAAUCAGGAGACAGAACACCCCUGCUCUGCUGUCACAUGGCAGAAGGGAUGGGGGAGAACCAGAGAGCUGUCCUCCUUGGACUGUGUGAAACAGUUCUCUAGAACUCAAAAAAAAAAAAAAUCCAAAGGCAACUCUGAGGCAGGGGAAUUUUCUUCCUGGCCCUGGUGAACAUAGCGUUUUUGAUGGGAACUAGGAAGGUGAUGUGUCCCUUUCUCUCCUUACUGCAGUAACUAAAUUCUAAAUAGAGCAAGAACUUCUGUAAUCUCACCCUUCUCUUUCUUCAUCAUUCUUCCAAAUUUGCAAUUCUUUGUCAAGAGCAGAAAAUCGUAUAGUUAAUAUUUGCUUUGGAUUAGUGAGUUUGUGAAGAGGAGGUAGAUUUGGGGUGUUAGUAUGAGUGUAUGUAUGCAUUAGAGACUCUCUCAGGUCUCCUCAUGGGAGGCACAACCUGAAAGCAACAGUAAUAGCAUUUUAAAACUUUAGUGUCAGGCCUGCAGAGAGAUGACGUCAGAUACCCUUCCAACCCCAUCGCCUUCCUGCUCCUCACACCUUCAGCAGCACUUCUCGUCUGGUUUUCUGUUUGCAGCACAGGCUGCAUGAUACUUGUACAUGCCCCUGCAAUGGGUACCCAGAGAGCACGUGCAAAUGAAGGUUCUAAGCUGUAAUUUCCCAUCAGGAGGAAAGCAUUUUAGUGAGUGGGGAAGAUGUUACUAGAAGGCUGACAUUGAAUCUGCUAUCACUUAUACUGUUAAAAAUAAAAUAAACCAUUCACAUGGCAGUAUUUGCAAACACUACUGGGAGCCAACUGCCUGCUCCCGAUUCCACCGGCUGAUGCAGUGCAGUGUCAUGGUAUGCAUGGAGGCUCUCUGUGUCUCAACCCUUCCUGCGUAACUUGGUGAAGCUUCUUAACCCUGAGCCUUGGUUUCUUUUGAAAAAUUAGGAUGAUAAUAAUUCAUAGUUCAUGAGGUUGAUGGGACUGUAAAGUACACUAAUCCAUUUAAAGCUUUUGGAGUAACGUUAACUUUAGGAAAGCAAUAAUAUGAAUAGUUCAAUUAUGGAAAAUGUACCAAACUGUUCUAUGCAUGUUAAGACAGUAGAAUGCUGCCCACCUCACCUAUUUAUCUCUUAGACAACCUUGGUAACCUAAGAUUAUGAUCAUUUGUUUAGCCUGGGGUGUGACAAACUGUUGUACUGGGGCGACAAAUGCAGCCCCCUUGUUUUUGUAAAUAAAGUUUACGAAACUCACUUGCUUAUGUAUUGUCUAUCACUCUUUUCAAGCUACAACAUCAAGGUUGAGUACCUGAGGCAAGAGACUGCAUGACCCACAAAAUCUGAAAUACAUAUUCUUAGCUCUUUGCAGGAAAAGUUUGCCAACACUUACAUAGCCUGCUGUGAGACAUUAAUUAUA